rnacentral:rRNA from 1 species
UACGUAGGGGGCAAGCGUUGUCCGGAUUCAUUGGGCGUAAAGAGCUCGUAGGCGGUUCGGCAAGUCGGGUGUGAAAACUCCAGGCUCAACCUGGAGACGCCACCCGAUACUGCUGUGACUUGAGUCCGGUAGGGGACCACGGAAUUCCUGGUGUAGUGGUGAAAUGCGUAGAGAUCAGGAGGAACACCGGUGGCGAAGGCGGCCCAU